rnacentral:lncRNA from 1 species
UGUUAAAUGCUGCCGGAACUUGAUUGAUAUUUGAUACAAUGUUUGUGUGCAAUUUGUGGAUUAAAACAGCGGAUGGCUUUUAACAAAAUUUAAUUUCAAUUGAGACUGAAACUGGUAUUACAUGGUUCAUUACAUAAUAUCAAAACUGUUUCGUUCUGUUCAACUAUUGCGUGAAUUCUAUUCUUCCCGUAAGUUUAUUUACGGAUUUAACACUGGGUCUAUCUUGAUCUUGACUACCCCUAUUGUUAAGAGGGGUAUCUGUUGCACGAUAUCAUCCGUUCAAACCAAACUAAAUAAAAGCAACAGUUGUAUACCACUGUUCGAAAUUUAUAAAUCGAAAAACAAAUAAGGGUUACAAACUAAAACUGAGGGAAACGCAUCAAAUAUAAGAGAACUACGACACAAAAGAACGAAACAGACCAUUAAAAUGUAACACACACAGAAACGAACUAUAAUAUAACAAUAGCCAUUUUCCUGACUUGGAACAGGACAUUUUAAGAAAAAAAUUGUGGUUACCUUGAAGAUCCUACAAGUCUAUUAGGAUCUUCAAGGUAUUAUCCAUAGCUUUCUAAGCAAUUGUGCUCCGAUCGGAUCUUCCUAUAUACUUUACUUUCAAAAUGUAGUAGGAAAGUAUUACAUAUUGUUCAUAUGCAAAUCGUUAUCUGUUAUGGGUGUUAUGUUGGUUGAUAAACCAGC